UCGCCUCUUAGCUCAGUCGGUAGAGCGUCCAGCUGUUAACUGUACGAAAAGGUCGUCGGUUCAACUCCGACUAGGCGCU